rnacentral:tRNA from 1 species
CCCUGGGUGGUGCAAACAGUAAACACGCUUGGCUGCUAACCAAAAGUUGGAGGUUUGAGUCCACCCAGAGGCA